rnacentral:lncRNA from 1 species
GAUGAACGAAAUCAGCAAGGGGGAAGCCAUAGUUAGGGUUUUUAAGCUUCCAAGCUCAAUAGUAAGUGAUUCCAAGCCCCGUUUUUAAUGUUCUUUACGUUUUUGGAGUCCUGGUAGCUUAAUUUAGCUUAUUCUAGCAAUAAUUUAACCUAGGGUUUAUAUUUGGAAAAAUACCCAUAGGUGAAAAGUGUUUAUUUUGCUGUUUUAUGGUGGAAUAUGAAGCAAGAAAUUAUGUUAAACAACUUUUGCUAAGCGAUUUUAAAUGAAAACGGGUAAAUUGACAUAAUCGGUAAAAAUAGUAAAUGUUCAAAAGCAUGUAUUAGAGUGAGAAUUUGAUGUUUCCAUAGAAGGGAAAAGUGUUCAGCACGUUGUAAAACAUGAGAAUAAGAGAUGAAAUUUAAUUUCUGAGCUUAGGGACAAAAGUGUAAAUAUUCAAAAGUUUGGGGGCAAAAUUGUAAUUUUUCAAAAAUUUGGGUGGAGGACUAUUUUAUUAAAUUUGAACAUUAAAUGAGUUAAAUUUGCUAUUAUAGAUCAAGAAAGAUGAGAAGACUACCUCAAACGGGGAAAAGAGAAGAUAGUGGAGUAAAUUGCAAAAUUACGAUAUUUUGCACCAAGGUAAGUAAACAUGUGAAAUAAUGCAUAUUUUUUAUAUUAUUUGAUAUAUGUUGAGAUUUAUUUGAACAUAGAAUAAAUAUUUGGCAAAUAUUCUAAAAGUGUGGUUAAGUUGGGAAAGGUGGUAAAGUGUUGAAAAACACAGUUUCCGGUUGAACACUCGGAAUAGGCUGGAUUACAUUGAAUAUAAAGGGGGUUGCUAAGUGCUGAUUCCCCCAAGGGGUUGCUAAGUGUUGAUUCCCCGAUUCAUUGGUGGUUGCUAAGUGCUUAUUCCACCGUAUCUUAAAUGUGAAAGGGGUUGCUAAGUGCUGAUUCCCCGACUCAUUGGUGGUUGCUAAGUGCUGAUUCCACCGUAUCUUAAAUGUGAAGGGGGUUGCUAAGUGCUGAUUCCCCCGAGGGGUUCCUAAGUGCUGAUUCCCCGAAUCAUUGGUGGUUGCUAAGUGCUGAUCCCACCGUAUCUUAAAUGUGAAAGGGGUUGCUAAGUGCUGAUUCCCCAACUCAUUGGUAGUUGCUAAGUGCAGAAUCCACCGAUAAAGGAUAACAUUCCGAAUGUUCAACGAGGAAAUUGGAAAGGUGAAUAUUUAUAUAUGGUGGGCAAGUUUAUGGGAGAAAUAUUGGGUUUGAUACUUAAUCAACCCAUAUGUAAGAUGGGAGGAAAUAUCAAAAAUACAAAAGAACAAUUUAAAUACAAAACUAUUUUGAAUAAUAACAGAUGGGCAAAUUUGAAAAAUCACCAUAAAUGGUGGAAAAUGAAUUAGAGGUUGAAUAAUAUAUGAAAUUGAAGCUGGAUGAGUUUAUUUUCAUAUGAAAGAAAUAGAGCAAGCAAAAGAGUUGUAUGUUUGGGGAUAUUUGAAUUUUAUUGAGACAGGGUUGAAUUGAUUUAGAAAUCCCUUGUUCCAAAUUUGAAAAAUCACCAUAAAUUGUAAAAAAAUAAUUAUGGCCUGAAAUUUAUAUUUUUGGAUUCCUUAAUUAGUCUAUUUUUAAUAUAAACAAACGAGAACAUUGUUUGAAUUCUAUACAGCGAGUUAAGUAAAUUUUAGUAAGGAGAGGUCAGAACUGUUGAGUAGUAAAACAGGGGAAUCUUUAGAGAAUAAACUGUACUAAUUGGCCAAAUCAAAAAUUCUGAAAAUUUUAUGGUGGAAAUUUAUAUGAAUCUAGUUUCGGGAAAAAUUUACAGAACUUAAUUUGGAGCGAUGUAGCUCCAGAUAAAAAUAAAUUAGUGACCAUGACGCAGAAAAACAGCUUGCUGGAAAUUGAACAAACAAUGAAAUUUAUGUGUGAUUAAAAUUAUGUGAGGAAUUUAUUUAUUGGUCAUAUGUUUACUUACUAAGCUAUAUUCUUACUCAUUUUUAUUUUCCCUUGAUUAUAGUGACAUCAAUCAGCUCGGAACUUGGACGACGUCAGAUAAUCAUCCACACUAUCAUCAACUUUUUGGGUAUUUUGCAAUUAAUACUUUGGAAACAUGGCAUGUAUAGAUGACUUUAUGUAAUUUGGUAUAAAUAUGUUUAUAUUCGGUAUUGUUCGGUUUAAUAUGUUGGUGUUUAUUAAUGGAUAAAUUAUGUCUGAACAUAUAACUGUAAUUGGUUGGAAAUAUUGAAGUUGUUUGAAAUUGUCUUUGAAAAUUUGCAAGGGGUUUUAUGUAAAAAUAAGCAGAAAUGCUGCCGAAAUUUUUAUAAAAAAAAAAUAUAAGUGUUGAG